UGAGCACUUGAAUAAAGACUUGAACCCCAGGGAGCCCUGCCGUGCACAUGUGGCCCCAUGGAGAAGCAGGGAACGCCAGUUUGCAGAAAGGAGCCGGAAGCCGACACAGGACGGGCAGGGAAAUAUCUUGGAUGGAGCUUAGGCAGCCAUUUUAUACUACACGGAAGAGGACUUCAUCCUCGGGAUGGUGGAAUGGAGAGUUGGAAGGAGCUGGGUUCCUGAUCAUCUUGUGGAGCCAUCAUGCUACCUUGGACUGCCUGGCCAGGAUUGCUGCUAGUGGCUCACAGCUGCCCCUUCUAUAGAGAAUUGCUCCUGGCUGGAUGGGAGCCAUUUUACCUGGGAGGUUAUGGUUCCUCCACCGAGGGCAUGAGGGCACGAAUGGCUGUCUCUUUUGACUGAAGGUAGAAUCAGCUCCGUGGUGCAAUUCACACCCCAGAGAUCCUGUGGAAUCAGGCUGAGGCCAGGGUCCAGCCAAGACCACACCAUUGCUUAACCCCUUUUCUUUCCCAUCCUGCUUGCCUCCCCCUGCUUCUCCUGGGAACCCUCCCUCAAUAACUCUCCCAAGAAUCCCCACCUCAGGUUCUGCUUCUAGGAGACUCAACCCAAGAUACUCUCCUCCUGCUUCUCUGCCAUGAUGAGACAUUGAAAAAGAACCUGGCAUAGCCAGCAAGCUCCUGGCUCACAGUAGGCCGUAUUUGGCAGACUCCAUCUAUUUCAUCCACUGGUUUUGGAGUGGGGACAAGAGGAGAGGUCAAGAACCCGAAUCCAACAGAAAUCAAGCACUGCAGUGUGAAGAAUAUGAAAGAUGAGCCCCUUCCCAGGUGGCGCUGGAGGCCAAGAGAGCACUUGGGAAGAGGCCUCUGAUUCAUUAAGCAUGGGAGAUCCAUCGGCCAAAUCCCUCUCUUUCCUGCCUGCCUGCUCCAGGCCUGUUUGAAGUCCAAGGCUGCUGCGGUCCUUUGGAUGGACAGCAUUGAUAAGCAACUCUCUCCCCAGCCCAGUUAAUAAUUCAGGAGCGGGUGCCUGCAGCCAACCCAUCAUUCCAGCCCUCCUGCCACCCUGAACGCCACGCUAGUGGACAGGAAAGAAAAAAUCGCCACGCCGGCUUGAAAAAUGGUCCUUACUUCGAGUUCUUGCUGGGUCCUCUGUGCUGCCGUGGGAGAGAGCCAGGCUGAGAUGUAUCUGCUGGGUGCACAGCCAGGGGAGGAUAGAGAGGCCCUGGGGCUUGCUGGCAUGCACACUGAGCAUUGUUUAACCUUUGUUUUGGGGUAGUGGGCUGUAGCCAAUGAAGAGCAAGCCCAGGAGGACCCGGCCCUCUUCCUCUGAUGCAGCUAUUGAUCCUUCACUCAUGUGCUCACUCAUUCAUUCAUUCGGGAAUCACUGAUGCUGCUGACACAGAAGUGGGCCUCCACCCCUCAGGGAGGCGGACACAUACACCCUCAUGUACCAGGCAGUGAGAGCCACUACACUUGGCCUGAGACAGGAAACGGUUAACUGGGGGCUCUGGGUCUGGGGGUGACCUAUUCCCUGGGUGUGCUGGGGGCCUUAAGUGCCCAAAGCAGAGAGGGAGGGUAGAGACGAUAACGGCUAAGAUCAUGGACUCUGGGGCCAGGCUGCCUGGGUUCAAAUCCCAGCCCUGCCACUUACAGAGAGUUAGCCUCUCUGUGCCUCAGUUUCUCUAUGUAAAAGGGAGACUGAUACAAAUCACCCUCAUAUAUGGUUACAACAAAAAUCAGAGUCAAGUGUUGGCUCACACCUGUAGUCUCAACACUUUGGGAGGCCCAGGCAGUAAGAUGGCUGGAAGCCAGGGGUUUGAGACUAGCCUGGGCAACAUAGGAAUACAAAAUAAACAAUAUACAAAAUUAGCCAGAUGUGGAGGCAUGCACCUAUAGUCCUAGCUACUUGGGGAGGCUAAGGUGGGAGGAUUGCCUGAAUCCAGGAGUUCGAGGUUGCAGUGAGCUGUGAUCACACUGCUGCACUCCAGCCUGAGUGACAGAGUAGGACCCUAUCGUGAAAAAAAGAAAAAGAAAAAGAAACAAACAAAAAAACCCAAAAAACACCAGAAGUCUGACAAAUACGUAGUGUAGGCAACUAACGUUACAGCCAACUUUAGAAAGUGAUUCGGCAGUUUCCUGUAAAGUUAAACAUACCACGCCACCCAGAAUUCGCACUCCUAGGUAUUUCUCCAAAUGAAAUGAAAAAUCUGCACAAAAACCUGUUCGUGAAUGUUUGCAGCAGCUUCAUCAUCUCCCCAAACUGGAAACAACCCAAAUGCCUUCCAACUGGAGAAUGGAUACACUGUGGAACACCACACAGCCAGGCACAUAAACAAUAUGCAUGAGUCACAGAUGCAUUAUGUACGCUAAGUGAAAAAAGCCAGGCUCAAGCGGCUCCGUCUAUACUGGAUGAGUCCAUGUAUAUGACAUUCUGAGUCAGAAAACUGGUCCAUGGUUGCAGAGAUGGGAGGAAGGAUUAUUACUGAGGGGCAUGAGGGAAUUUACGGGGAGUGAUGGAACUGUUUGGUAUUCUGAUUGUGGUGGGGGAUACAUGACUGUAUGUGUGCGUGUGUCAAGAAUUAUAGGCCUAGGCCGGGCGCAAUGGCUGACACCUGUAAUCCCAGCACUUUGGGAGGCCGAGGCAGGUGGAUCACCUGAGGUCUGGAGUUCAAGACCAGACUGGCCAACAUGGUGAGACCCCGUCUCUACUAAAAAUACAAAAAUAAGCCAGGUAUGGUGGCGGGCACCUGUAAUCCCAGCUACUCGAGGGGCUGAGACAAGAGUAUUGCUUGGACCCGGGAGGUGGAGGUUGCAGUGAGGUGAGGUCAUGCCACCACACUCCAGCCUGGGCGACAGAGCGAGACUCUGUCUCAGAAAUAAACAAACAAAAAAUCAGAACUGUACACGAAGAGGUGAAUCUUACUGUGUGUAAAUUAUGCCAGGCAGAGGAAAUAGCAUGUGCAAAGGGCACAGAGGUUUGAAAUCAGGUUUGAGAUGGUGCAUGGGAGCAAGUAGCAGGAAGUGAGGCAGGGAAAACUUGCUUGGGUCUGUUUGGGGAGGACCUUGAAUGCCGUGUCAAUGCUGCUUUGGAUGGUGGGAAAAUGUUGGAAGUUUUUAAGCAGUCGAGGAAUAUAAGCAGAUAUUUGCUUCAGAGAGAUGGCUCUGUUCUCUGUUUAGAAGCAGAAGCCAGGUCAGGCACGGUG
rnacentral:lncRNA from 1 species